UACGGAAGGCAGCAGUGGGGAAUAUUGGACAAUGGGCGCAAGCCUGAUCCAGCCAUGCCGCGUGUGUGAAGAAGGCCUUCGGGUUGUAAAGCACUUUUGUCCGGAAAGAAAAGCUUAGGGUUAAUAACCUUGAGUCAUGACGGUACCGGAAGAAUAAGCACCGGCUAACUUCGUGCCAGCAGCCGCGGUAAUACGAAGGGUGCAAGCGUUACUCGGAAUUACUGGGCGUAAAGCGUGCGUAGGUGGUUUUGUUAAAGUCUGAUGUGAAAGCCCUGGGCUCAACCUGGGAAUGGCAUUGGAAACUGGCUUACUAGAGUGCGGUAGAGGGGUGUGGAAUUCCCGGUGUAGCAGUGAAAUGCGUAGAUAUCGGGAGGAACAUCUGUGGCGAAGGCGACACCCUGGGACCAGCACUGACACUGAGGCACGAAAGCGUGGGGAGCAAACAGGGAUUAGAUA
rnacentral:rRNA from 1 species